UGUUAUGGGCGGGCCGUGCGUGGGUGCCUUCGGGCACACCGGCCCUGUGACCGGUACGCCAACCCGCACGGUUCCGCCCACCCAA
rfam:Pseudomonas pseudoalcaligenes KF707 = NBRC 110670 strain KF707 ctg1555, whole genome shotgun sequence.